UUUAGGCAAUCACAAUGCACAGAUGUCAUGGAGGGAGUAAUUUAUCUUGCAGACUUUUCAUUACUGCCAAUAAUGAUGCACAAACCAGAGAAAACCCAACUUGAAUUUCAGAUCCAGACAGAAUUUGCAAGUAUGGAGAGUCUGAUUCUGUAAGCUGUAAAAGGAAUACCAGUCAGAGGCAGAUUUGGGCUGGAAUUCUUCAGUAAACAGCUUCUUAUUGAUAUUGUGACACCUAUCCCUCAGCUUGCUCCAGCAAUACCGCAAGAAAAGCAUCUCUUAUGCUUCCUACCAAUGAAACUAGGAACUGAAGAAGUGUACAUUGCCUUGAACACUAGAGCAGUCCAUGGAAAUAUGUUUGCAAGGAUCCCAAGAGCCCUUUAGUAUAUGAAUAUCCAAACCUUCACUUCCUUAUUUUUUGUGUGUGUAGCCUUCAGAUGACAUGAGAGAAAAGAAUAAAAGUACAAACCUGGGUUGCAGUUUAUUUUCUUGGAUGCUGAAGUCAAAUUAUUGUUCUAAUAAAUCUCUCUUGAUCACAGGAUGAACCUGUGUCUCAGUCACUUAGGAUCCAGAGCAGCAGUUAGUAAUUCUGCAUUUCUGUAGCAAGAGACUUAGGAAGAAGAUAUAGCUGAAACAGGACUAAUGAAUUUAGGGAAGAAAGGGAGUUAAGUGGGUCAUUACGAAAUGAUUAGCCAUACAGAGGUGACUUUCUGGAGAAACUCCACCAAUGGCAUGCAGCAGCUGGACUGAUUAGUUAUAUCCUUUCACAUGCACUUAUGAAAUCAAACUGCUUGGGUUCAUGGUAAUGCUAGGAAAGGACUCAUCAUUGUCUAUGGAGUUUAACAACAUUUGAUGGAUGAUGGGAAAACAACAUACUUUCUUCGAUGCUUCUUUUGAGCCUACAGAUAGACUGGCAAAGAGGACAGAUUAAUUCAGAUUGCCUUUCAAGAAGUUUUAAAUAUCUACAUAACAGGAUUAUGUAAAAUGGUUAUGCAAAGUGCCUGAGGCAGAACAAACUAGAGAGUGUAAAACACACUAUGGCACAAGAAAAUAAGCGAUGUGUUUACUUUCUUCUCCAGUCUGUCA